CAAUAGCGUAUAUUAAAAUUGUUGCGGUUAAAACGCUCGUAGUUGGAUAUCUGCUAAGGAGUUCCGGUCCUUCCCAGUGAAGAAUACGCGGAACUCUUCUUGGCAUUUAUUCAGGGAAGGUGUUUGCACUUUGUUGUGUGUCACGUGAUCUGAAUUUUUACUUUGAGGAAAUGAGAGUGUUUCAAGCAGGCUUUCGCCGUGAAUAUGAUAGCAUGGAAUAAUAGCACAGGACCCCUUUCCAAAGCUGUUGGUUUUUGGAACGAGGUAAUCAGAAUAAGGAUAGUUGGGGGUAUUCGUAUUUAACUGUCAGAGGUGAAAUUCUUGGAUUUUUUAAAGACGAACUAUUGCGAAGGCAUCUGCCCAGGAUGUUUUUAUUGA
rnacentral:rRNA from 1 species